UACGUAGGGGGCAAGCGUUGUCCGGAUUUAUUGGGCGUAAAGAGCGCGUAGGCGGCCAGCCAGGUCCGUUGUGAAAACUAGAGGCUUAACCUCUAGACGUCGAUGGAAACCGUUUGGCUAGAGUCCGGAAGAGGAGAAUGGAAUUCCUGGUGUAGCGGUGAAAUGCGCAGAUAUCAGGAAGAACACCCGUGGCUAAGGCGGUUCUCUAGUACGGUACUGACGCUGAGACGCGAAAGCGUGGGGAGCGAACAGG
rnacentral:rRNA from 1 species